UUCAAAAAGGAAUUAAUUGUGAAAGUACCAAGAUUGAACCUGAGAACUUUCAUAAAGGGAAUCCUAGUGCAGCCGCUAUGUCAAGAGUGUUAUACUUGCCAAGUGUUAUAAUUAAAUCAAUACAAAAAACAUAUUUAUAUUUAAUUAAAAAAAUAAAAAGGUUUUGUUUCCAAAGGGAAUCGAAGGCGGGUUUAGUGUGCGUAACGAGUUGUGUAAGAGUAGAGGGCUAGCCACUAGGCUAGGGUGGAUAUUCAUUUUUUCCAAACAAAUGUCAACUUAUUAAUUCACAAAGAUAAAUAUAUUUUAUCUAGGAUACCAUUUGUGAUAUUUAUGAUGGGUUUCCAAAAAUCGAAUAUGAAAAUGAGAUUAUCAAGAUACAAGACCACUAAGCCAAGGUGUUAUAUCUCAAAAUGAGUAAGCUUUUAAAAGCAAUAUAAGCAAUUCUCUUGUUGAUUGAUACAAAAAUUAAAAAAAUGUUCUGAUUCCAUUAAGGAAAUAGUGACCAUAAAACAUGAUGUGGGUUUCAUAAUACAUAAAUAAUAUUAGUCUUAAAACAUAAGAGGGAAGUUGAUAACAUCAGAUUAAUCAUCCAUCCAACUGUAACAACCUGUCCAGCGGACCCAGGCUGACAGCCCUGCAGGGCACUGACCCUAACCCCUCA
rnacentral:lncRNA from 1 species